AUAUAUAUAAAUUUAUCACUUAAAAUGAGAACCACAUUUUUUUAUGGAGUAUAUUUUAUUUGGUUUGAAGGAUAAUAUAUUAUCCACUCGUUAUAAGGUGGUAUAAAAUUAUACCACUCUCUUAUGUAUAAAAUUAUCUCUUUCCCAAAAGAUAAGGAACUGUCUGAAAAAUUAUACGACAUGUCCAAAUUUUUUCAUACAUCAAAGCAAACGAGGUAUAAAGUGAUUAAUGUAACUUAUCCCUUCCUUAUAACUCAAAACAAACACACCCUUUAAUUAUGAGUAGGUUCCCCAUUGGCCCAAUUACUAGAAUUAUGAGUAGGUUCCCCAUUGGCCCAAUUACUAGCUUCUUCAUUCAACGGCACCGCCGCCAUCCACCGUUACUAUCGUCUCUUUCAAGGUCCAGACGAUAUCAAAUACAAGGAAAAAUCAUCAUUAUCACUUGUAUAUUUUUGUCUUGUUUUUCACAAUUAAUACACUGCCCCACUUUUUUGUUUAUUGUAUUACUAAUGUGCUCAUUUCAUCAGCUCUCAACAAUCCGAAUGAUUUGCAUAAUAUAUAUGAUCAAACAAGCUCAAUAUUGCUCAAUCUAUUAGAGAAUGUGGUGGAUUAGCCUACUUCACUUUUAUAUAUGAUCUAUCUAAUGUAUCACCAUAAGUAAACACCCAUUUAAAGGCUUAAUAAGGGAAAAUUUUCUCCUAAAAUCUAUAUAUAUAUAUAUAUGCUUGCUGCUUGACACUAUGUACGUAUAAACUCUUGACAAUUUUGGAUGGAAUGCUCACUCUAAUCUGCAGGAGAAUUAUAUAUUGUUGCAUUGUCGAUGAAUAAUUUUUGGUAGGAUACAUAUACCCAUAUAUGUUACACCUUUAAUCUUAAUUAUAAUGGUUAAGGCCACUAUGCAUAACAAAUUGUACAUGUAUAUAUACAGCACUUAAUUAUUUAACAUGGAAAAUGUUAGUAAUUGUUUUUCUCCUGGCCUUGAGUCGUUGUUUGUUUUUGUUGAUAUAUAUAUUUUGGCAGAUUUAUAUGUUGUAAGCAAUGCUGGCGCAUAUUAGCUGCAUUGGGCUCUCUUAGCAUUACUUCUUUUUGGAGUGAAAAGGUUCCAAAUUUAGAAGGGAUUUCCUAAUUCGUAUGAGAAGCUUACUUUUCUGGUAUGAUUGCAGGAUAUAUAGGUAUCAUGGUUUGUCUGGUUUUUAUGUAGAUGAAGCACACAAGGGAUUUACAAGUUCUAAAGUAGCAUUCAUAAUGAGAUCUAUAUAUAUUAAUGGUAAACCAAUGCUUCUGAUUUGCAAAAUGCGUUUGAAUUUUGAUGUUUGUGACAAAGUUGUCUUGUUGCUUCUUAUCUUUUAUAUGAUCUCUUUCUCAAAUCCUUCAUUAACUAGAUAUGAUGAUUUUCUUAGUAUCUCAACUUAUAGAAAGAUCUAUAAGUUGUAUAACUGUAAUGUACAUAGUCAAUAUUGUACCCACAAACAUGGUUGACUGUUUGGUGAAUGUUGUACUCCCUUCGUCCACGAUAUAUAUCGUUUUCACUUUUGAUAUUUUGGUCCGUCCACAAUAUCAUUUUCACUUUUAUUUAUAAUAGUAGGGUCUACAAACUACACUCACAAUAGUAGUGAGACCCAAACUCCGCUCACAAAUAUACGCCACUUUCUUAAAACGCAUGCCGUCCACAAAAUGGAAACGAUAUCAUGGACGGAGGGACUAGUACUUUUCAACACAUUUGUGGUUUGUAUAUAUUAUCAAUCUAUCCUGUCUUUGGGAGGUACUGCUACUGUAACUGCUAAAUAUAUAAGUGAAUAAUGAGCAUUAGGCACUGGUAUUUGAUUCAAACUCUUUUAAUCGGCAGAAAUUGUAUUACAAUAAACGUUGUUUCUUGUGAGAACUACUAAAAUUGUGGAGUUUGCUUCUGGUUUUCUUUUUAAGAUAAUAUGCAUUGUAUUACCACAUGUACUUUUUGACUUCAUGGGAGAAAUUCCUAUUUCUUAUCUUGGAAUCUCAAUUCAAAUAUCUAAAGACAUGUUACUGACCUUCCACACAGAUGCUAUAUUACCAGGUUUGCAUUUGAAAGUAUAUGCUCCUAUUUUUCGAAAGUGCAAAUAGGCAAAAUUGCCCACUUUGUUAAGUGUAAAAUUAAAAAUGCCCAUUUCUUAUAAAAAUUUGAUCCUAUGCCCAAAUUAAAGUGAAGAGUGGAUGCCUUUAGAUGUUGAUGGCUUUGCAUCAUUUUUUGUAUAAAGUCUUACACUUUUCUGACACAAGUACAAAUAUGUAAGAAAAAGUAGUCUACUGUCGAAAAAGUAGGUUGCCACACGAGGUUGCCGUUCGGGCGGGAAGCUAUUUCCCGACAAUUGACUUUUUUUAUCUUGCAAAUAUAUUGAUUGUGACAUGAAGAGUAAUUUAUGUAUUUUGGGCAUAGAAUCAAGUUCUUAUAAGAACUAUAAGAAGUGGGCAAUUUUAAUUUUAAACUUAGCAAGUGGGAAAUUUUAAUUUUCUCUCGAAUGGAAAUCUGAGGCCUCACUUUGCUAGCACUCUUGUGCCAUUUCACAUGCAUAUAUAAAUCAUUUUUUUUCUAUUUGAAGAUCCAAUGCAGGGCUUAACUGAGUCUCAAUUAUUGUGUGAACAUAACUGUAACAUUCUUGAUGAAUUUGGUUCCUAAAUGGAAGUCUAGAUGCCCCCUUUUUUUACCUGCCUCAGUUGGGCCAACAUAGAAACCCCUUAAUUAAUUUUCAUUUUCUCCAGCUUCCACCUUUCCUCAGAUGAGACUCAAAUUUUGGGCAGCAGCCCUAUUUAAUUUAAUCUCACACGUUACGUCGAGAGUAGAUAUUCUAGCAUCAUGUUAAAAAUAAUGUUAGCAGAAAUGUUGGUAAUAAAAUGUUAAUAAUAUCCAAGCUAAAAUGCAUCGGAAAUUAAACAAUACACAUGAUACUUCUUCAUGGAUUAUAUAAAUACAACCAGUGAGUUCUUCAUGGCCAAAUUCAUUAUGUUUACCAACAUUACAAGGUACUGUAGAAGAUCUCUUGAUGAUCAACCUUCACAAUUUGAUUGUCUAAUUAAGAUUAAAACACAUAUCUAUUAAUUGUACCUAGAAUGUUAAUUCAACAUAAAAUUAUCAAUUAAUUAAACUAAGGUUAAAUGAUCAAAUAAAUAGGUUGCUACACUCCAAUGUCAUCGAUCUUUAAUCAUUGUCCUUGACCUCCCUCGUCAAUAUAGAGUAAUUAAGCCUUUACAGAUUGACUGUUUAAAACUCCUCCAACAAAGCAAGACUCGAAAAACUGGUGUCAUAUUUUCACCACUUCUAAUACUAAAUUGUAACACAUUUUUACUACUUUAAUUAAUAGUAAUUAUAAUAUUUUUUAACCACUUCCAAUACACUCG
rnacentral:lncRNA from 1 species